rnacentral:antisense_RNA from 1 species
CACUUUGGGAGGCCGAGGUGGGCGGAUCAUGAGGUCAGGAGAUCGAGACCAUCCUGGCUAACAUGAUGAAACGCCAUCUCUACUAAAAAUACAAAAAAUUAGCCGGGCGUGGUGGUGGGCACCUAUAGUCUCAGCUACUUGGGAGGCUGAGGCAGGAGAAUGGCAUGAACCCGGGAGGCAGAAGUUGCAGUGAGCCGAGAUUGCGCCACUGCACUCCAGCCUGGGCGACAGAGUGAGACUCUGUCUCAAAAAAAAAAAAAAAAAAGGUUUUGUGGAGAUGAGGUCUUGUGGCUUGUGGUGUUGCCCGGGCUGGUCUUGAACUCCUGGGCUUAAGCCAUCCUCCCACCUCAGCCUCCCAGUGUUGGAAUUACAGGCAUGAGCCACGUGCCCGGCUGUCUUUGUUUUUUUUAUAUGAGGUCCUCUCUCCCUUAACAUGGAGAAGCAUUAAAAGUGUGGCCCCAGAUCCCUCUGUCCAGGAAGCCUCUGUGGACUGCCCCUUACUUUUCAUGAUGUCCAUGAUGUGGCGCUGCUGGAUGUUCGUCAGUUUGGAUUCCUUCAUCAUCACUGCACGACAAAGCAUUCUAUGAGGUCUCUUGGGCUGCAAGCGGAUGCCUUCACCUGACACCCUACUGAAAUUUAAAACCCUACAUCCUAGCCCCAUUCUGCACUGAGCAUGCCUUCUCUAUCUUUCCUGCUUUGUUUUUUCUAUAGCACUUACGACCACCUAAAAUUCUAUAUAUUUUAUUUUAUUGUUAUCCUUCUAUAUUAGCUGUAUGAUAAGAAUUUUUGCUGGUUUAAUAAAAUUUCUGCCCUCUGUUAA